rnacentral:tRNA from 1 species
UGAUAAGAAAAGGGGUUUACCUUUAUAAAUGAGGUUACAACUCAACGCCUAUCUCGGCCACCUUACC